UGCAGUCGAACGAAUCCCUAGGGGCUUGCUCUUAGGGGGAAGUGGCGAAAGGGGCAGUAAGGCGUGGGUAACCUACCCCGGGGACGGGCAUAGCCGUCCUAACGGACGGGUAAUUCCCGGCGAUUUGGCGAGGGGGCAUCUUCUUGCCAGGAAAUGAGUUUCGCCUCGGGAGGGGCUCACGUGGUAUUACGCUAGUUGGUGAGGUAACGGCUCACCAAGGCCGAGGUGCCUAGCGGGUGUGAGAGCACGACCCGCGCCACUGGCACUGAGACACUGGCCAGACACCUACGGGUGGCUGCAGUCGAGGAUCUUCGGCAAUGGGCGCAAGCCUGACCGAGCGACGCCGCGUGUGCGAUGAAGGCCUUCGGGUUGUAAAGCACUGUCGAGGGGGAGAAAGCCGCAAGGUUGAUCUAUCCCUGGAGGAAGCACGGGCUAAGUUCGUGCCAGCAGCCGCGGUAAGACGAACCGUGCGAACGUUGUUCGGAAUCACUGGGCUUAAAGGGCGCGUAGGCGGGUCAUCAAGUCCGGGGUGAAAGCCCCCAGCUCAACUGGGGAAGUGCCUUGGAUACUGGUGGUCUUGAGGGAGGUAGGGGCAUGUGGAACUUCCGGUGGAGCGGUGAAAUGCGUAGAUAUCGGAAGGAACGCCGGUGGCGAAAGCGACGUGCUGGACCUCUUCUGACGCUGAGGCGCGAAAGCUAGGGGAGCAAACGGGAUUAGAUACCCCGGUAGUCCUAGCCCUAAACGAUGGGUACUAGUUGUGGACUAGUAUGGGUUCACAGCCGAACAAAAGUGUUAGUACCCCGCCUGGGGAGUAUGGUCGCAAGGUGACUCAAGAAUGACGGGGGCUCACACAGCGG
rnacentral:rRNA from 1 species